AUGGCCCCCGCCGUGAUGGCUUCGUCGGCUACCACCGUUGCACCCUUCCAGGGGCUCAAGUCCACAGCCGGUCUCCCCGUCAGCCGCCGCUCCAGCGCCAGCCUCGGCAGCGUCAGCAAUGGCGGAAGGAUCAGGUGCAUGCAGGUGUGGCCAAUUGAGGGCAUCAAGAAGUUCGAGACCUUGUCUUACUUGCCACCCCUCUCCACGGAAGCCCUCCUGAAGCAGGUCGACUACCUGAUCCGCUCCAAGUGGGUGCCCUGCCUCGAGUUCAGCAAGGUUGGCUUCGUCUUCCGUGAGCACAACAGCUCCCCCGGGUACUACGACGGUCGAUACUGGACAAUGUGGAAGCUGCCCAUGUUUGGGUGCACCGACGCCACACAGGUGCUCAACGAGGUGGAGGAGGUCAAGAAGGAGUACCCUGACGCCUAUGUCCGUGUCAUCGGCUUCGACAACCUGCGCCAGGUGCAGUGCGUCAGCUUCAUCGCCUUCAGGCCACCGGGUUGCGAGGAGUCCGGCAAGGCCUAA
rnacentral:rRNA from 1 species